rnacentral:rRNA from 1 species
AACAGGCUUAUCUCCCCCAAGAGUCCACAUCGACGGGGAGGUUUGGCACCUCGAUGUCGGCUCAUCACAUCCUGGGGCUGUAGUAGGUCCCAAGGGUUGGGCUGUUCGCCCAUUAAAGUGGUACGCGGGCUGGGUUCAGAACGUCGUGGGACAGUUCGGUCCCUAUCCGUCGCAGGCGUAGGAAAUUUGAGAAGACCUGUCCUUAGUACGAGAGGACCGGGAUGGACGUACCUCUGGUGUACCAGUUGUCCUGCC